GACGAACGCUGGCGGCGCGCUUAACACAUGCAAGUCGAGCGAGAACCAGGCCUUCGGGCCUGGGACGAGCGGCGAACGGGUGAGUAACACGUGGGUAAUCUACCCUCGAUACUGGGAUAGCCCGGGGAAACCCGGGACGUUAAUACCGGAUAGCCUCUCGAGCUCUCGGGCUCGUGAGAAAAGGUAGGCUUCGGCCUCCGAUCGAGGAUGAGCCCGCGGCGGAUUAGCUUGUUGGUGGGGUAAUGGCCUACCAAGGCAACGAAUCCGUAGCUGGUCUGAGAGGACGAUCAGCCACACUGGGACUGAGACACGGCCCAGACUCCUACGGGAGGCAGCAGUGGGGAAUCUUGCCCAAUGGGCGCAAGCCUGAGGCAGCGACGCCGCGUGAGGGAAGAAGGCCCUAGGGUUGUAGACCUCUUUCAGCAGGGACGAAGCCACUCGGGUUAAUAGCCCAGAGGGUGACGGUACCUGCAGAAGAACGCCCCGGCUAACUACGUGCCAGCCGCCGCCGUAAG
rnacentral:rRNA from 1 species